rnacentral:misc_RNA from 1 species
UUGAAGUACUUGGGAAGCAAAUCUUGAGCGAAUUCAGGUGGAUUCCACACAACAAAACUGCAGCCACUCUGACUCCAUGACACCACUGAGUUGGUCAACGGAUCAUCUAUCAUCUCAUAUGUUUUGAUCAGAAAAGGCGCUGGUGCAUUGGAACUACUACCCUGUGAACUAUCCAUGCCUUUCUUUUUUCCUGUCAAAACUUAAUAUCCCAAAUCUGUUUCUGUACGCCAAGAAACUCUGUUCUUGUACACCAGAAAAGUUCCCUCUGAUGGAAAGAUCAUUUACUGUAGAUACUACCCAAGUGAAACCCAGUAUUAAGAAGGGGAUCAGAAUCUCAGGACAACUGGGUACGGCCAAAUUUAAUCAGAAAUGAUUAUGGGUUUGGACUACUGAAAAUAAAUAACUUACAAAAUGAAAAACUAAUAGCAAUUGCAGAUUAGGAACUGGAGAAUGGAAAAUUUAUUUUGAGGGAAAUUUUG